GAUGAACGCUGGCGGCGUGCCUAAUACAUGCAAGUCGAGCGAACAGACGAGGAGCUUGCUCCUCUGACGUUAGCGGCGGACGGGUGAGUAACACGUGGAUAACCUACCUAUAAGACUGGGAUAACUUCGGGAAACCGGAGCUAAUACCGGAUAAUAUAUUGAACCGCAUGGUUCAAUAGUGAAAGACGGUUUUGCUGUCACUUAUAGAUGGAUCCGCGCCGCAUUAGCUAGUUGGUAAGGUAACGGCUUACCAAGGCAACGAUGCGUAGCCGACCUGAGAGGGUGAUCGGCCACACUGGAACUGAGACACGGUCCAGACUCCUACGGGAGGCAGCAGUAGGGAAUCUUCCGCAAUGGGCGAAAGCCUGACGGAGCAACGCCGCGUGAGUGAUGAAGGUCUUCGGAUCGUAAAACUCUGUUAUUAGGGAAGAACAAAUGUGUAAGUAACUAUGCACGUCUCGACGGUACCUAAUCAGAAAGCAACGGCUAACUACGUG
rnacentral:rRNA from 1 species